ACCACGGGACAGUGUUAGACAGCCAUGGGCAUUGGCAUGGCUGGAGAAGGUAACAGCAAGAGGACAAGCUUUGCGUGCCUGGUGAAAGGAAAUCCAGAGAGGAGAGAUAAUGAACUGCAGAUGAUGGUGCUGAGGGAUGUUUGCUACCUGCAGGAGGGAAGUGAUGCCCGGAGCUGAUACUGCCACGCACUGCACAGUGAGGAUGCAAACUGGCUCAGUUUUAAGAGAAGCUUCACCAAGAAGCUGUCAGCCAGCACAGAAGAUCAAGAAAAGGAGCAUGCUUACCACACCCUUGAGAAAAGAUGAAGUUGAAUAAACUCAUGCAUAGUUACCAAUACAUCAAGAAGAGGCAUAUGUCUUGGAGCUUUAUAAAAGAAAAGUACUACAACCCAGAUUAGCUAGUUCUUCAUUUACUUUCAGUUAGAGUUGGAAACCAAUUCAGACUAAACAUUUUAAUUGACGAAUACAGUGCCUUCAUGCCAGAAAUUGCCUGUAAACACUCCAUGACUUCUCCAGAAAUACUUACUAUUAGCUAAAUGUUUUC